rnacentral:rRNA from 1 species
UAGGGAAUAUUGGACAAUGGGCGAAAGCCUGAUCCAGCAAUGCCGCGUGAGUGAUGAAGGCCUUAGGGUUGUAAAGCUCUUUUACCCGGGAUGAUAAUGACAGUACCGGGAGAAUAAGCCCCGGCUAACUCCGUGC